GCUUACUACCUGAAGGAUUCUAUCCAUCCCCUGAUUAUAUUACUGGAGUGAUAGCUUGAAUCUGGAGGAAAAAUGCCUGGAGUAAGACUUUCAAUCAACAUAUGUCCACCUGAAGCUGCUUGGACCACAGAGAUCAAAUGAAACCUUUGAAUGGCAUCGUGACACUGCUUAUGUGAUUUUGACCCCCUGCUCUCCAAAUGAUUGAAAACCCGCAUUUCAGAAGUAGUUCUUCCAGUGGUCACUUCAUUGUUUGUAUUUGCUAUGUAAGCAAAGUCUUCCACGUUUAGUGAAGACAUCGAGUUAUCUUCUGGAACAAAACUGCUCAUACCAGCUUGUGAAGAUAAUGAUGAUUCAUGUGGAGCACAGGCUCAGAAGGGUAGAAAAUGAAUAUAAUAAUAAUACCAGGUAAUGUCAUCAGUUCUGAUCUUC